UCCCUCGGAGAGAAAAAGCACCACCUGUUCCCUGACGCUUCUUACUUAUGUUGUGCAGUGGUGGUCUCCUGCUUUAAGGGUGGUGAUGUUGGAACCCUAGGAUCAUAAGUGCACCGUUUGUUUCAUUAGGUGUUUCAAAUCAUUUCAAGAGUCAUCAGGAUAGAAGACUGGCAACAAAUGUGGCUGUCUUUACGGGAGCACCAUCUGAACGCAGAAGUGCAGAAUUGCCUAGUUCUUCCUAGACUGGAAGCCACACAGGCAGUGAAGAUUUAGGUACAGUGGUGGGGAUGGCCAGGUGAAGACAUCUUUGGCUCUGGGCCCUGGGUUAAUUUACUUUAAGAUUUGGGAUCAUUACCUGCCAAACAGGAAUCUCUAUCCUGUAAAUCUCAUAAGGUUCUAAGAAGCAAUUGAAGGUGUGGAUGGUAAAGCACCUCAAAAUCUAUUGUCUUAGGGUUAUCCUUGCUGUGAUGAAACACCAUGACCAGAGAAACUUGGAGAAGAAAGGAUUUAUUCAGCUUGGGUCCACAUCACUGUUCAUCACUGAAAGAAGUCAGGACAAGAACUCAAAAAGAGCAGGAAGCUGGAGGUAGGAGCUGAUGCAGAGACCAUGGGUGAGUGCUGCUUACUGGCUUGCUCCUCAAGGCUUGCUCAGCUUGCUUUCUUAUAGAACCCAGGACCACCAGCCUAGGCAUGGCACCAACCACAAUGGGCUGGGCCAUCCCUCACUAAUCACUAAUUAAGACUAGGGAUAGGCUUGCCUACAGACUGAUCUUAUGCAGAAAUUUUCUCAGUUGACACUAGUUUGUGUCAAGUUGAAGCAAAGCUAGCCAGCAUAAUUAUUGAGGAAUUAUUAUGGUUUUUCCUACCAGAUCUUCAGCUUCUGGGAGGAGGGGCAGUGCCUUAGAGUUUUUCAAUAUUUGUAAAACCCACAUGAGGCAACUAAAACCCAGAGGUCUGGUCCUGACUCAGGUUUUCCCACUAGACAAAUGUGUCCGACGUGAAUUUGGGUCCCCCUAAAAAAGACUCUCUGGCCAAAACCUGAUCACAAGUAGGCCGUAUAUGAGGAGAUACAUUAGGAAAGGAGGGGGCAGUAAUAUGGAAUGUGUGCUUAGCAUAAGGUUAUAUAAGGUGUACCCUUAGCAGGACAGAGAGGAGACCCGUCCAAGGUUAGCAGAGCUAACCAUAGAAGGAAGACCUAGUCCUGAUGCCAUUAUCUGAGGCCCUGAUAGUUAUGCCUGACACCUAGCUCCGACUUCAUUUUGUUAUUUAAGACAGAGGCUCACUAAUUUCCUUUCCUUUCUUUCCUUCCCUUUGCUUCCUUUUCUUUCCUGUUCCUUCUUUUCCCUCUUCUGUUUAUCUCUUUUGAGGCAAGGUCCCAAUUUGAUAAGUCGAUCAGAUUGGUCUUGAACUAAGAGAUCCACCUUCCUCUGCUAUUGAGGGUUGAUAGUAAAGGUGAGUUCUGCCAUGCUUGACCAUAAUCUCACUGUUUAACCCUGACUGGUCUAGAACUCACUCUGUAGACCAGGCAAACUGUAGCAAUGCUCCUGCCCCUGCCUCUUGAUGCAGAGAUUACAACACGCAGGACUUAGAAUAUUCCCCUGGAUCGGAGCUGGUGUGAGCAGAGGGUUUGUUUCCAGCUUAUGACGCAGAAUCCAAGUUCAUUCGGUUUCACCUUGAAGCUUUGCUCACCCCUUCUUCCUUUUUAGAUUUAUCACUUUAUCUAUAUUCUGGCAGUUUCUGUUCACACAACGUUCAGUCCACCAAACAACUGACUGCUCAUUUUGUCUACAGAUGUGUCUGCUACAAAGCUGUGACUCCUACGAAGGGCUGGAACUGACCCAUCUCUGUAUCCUCAGAGUACAGGAGAAGCUGAGACUCUUUAUACCAGAUGGUGCAAGACACAGCAUCUUCAAUUGUGGGCAAUACAAAUUAAGCACGUGUUGGCCAAU
rnacentral:lncRNA from 1 species